rnacentral:lncRNA from 1 species
CCCGGCUAGAUCCCAGCAUCGAAACCCCGACUUCACGGCGGAAUCUCCAUUGGAAUCUGGAAUUUCUGGGAAUGCCAGAGUCUUCUAGAGGGUUAAAAUGUGUUUUCUAAAAUGUUUUCACAUGAUUUUAUGGUUUUAAAAUGGAAAAGAAAUUGAGUUUUGAAAAGAGUAGGCUAAGGAGGCAUUUGCCAGGUUCAGCCGCCGAAAGUCAAGUUCGGCCGUCGAACAUGGGGCUGUUUCGGGAGUGCUUUAGGCUUCCGAAAGUGUGAGGGCAGAAACCAUGUUCGGCCGUCGAACCUCAAGUUCGACCGCCGAACAUGCAUGAGUUUAGGAGGCACGUUAGGCUGCCGAAGGUAGUCGACCAGGCCACCUAUAAAAGGCCCUCAGACCGAAAAUGGGCGAGUUUUCUCCCCAUUCUCGAGCUCAGGUGUGUUCAUGUCCGCUACUAGUCAUUUUCAGGCUCUUUCUUCAAAUCCUUUACGAUUUAUAAGCUACAUGGUUGUUUUGAAGAGUUUUAAAGCUUGGAUCAAGGUUUGGAGAGCUUGGAGACUUCAAGGGCUUGGGUUCUCCAUAUCUCAAACUUUGGGUCGCACCAACCCUCGAUCUUCAAGAGGUAAGUGUAGAUCUAUGCUUCAUUUAUGUUUUAAAGAAGUUUUAAGCAAGUUUGAAGAUGUUUUGAUGGCUGAGUAUGGGUAGAUAUGCAUGUUAGGGUUUAUGUGGGUUUUAUGCCCAAUGUAUGUUUAUGUGAUGUGUUUGAGCUAGUUUAUGCAUGUGGGAGAGUGUAUGCAUAUUUGGGAAAGAGCAAGUGAGAUUGUGGGAUGUUUUGGUGGUUUUGGCCCAUGUGGGUCAUAAGCUACCUAUGUAUGCUUUUGAUGUUGUUUUUGGAGUUUAAUCUAGUUGUUAAGCUCCUUUAUGCAUGACUAGGGUUUAUGCUUGGUUUUGAGAAGUUUAGGCUUGUUUUGAGAGGUUGGGAGGCUUGUAUGCACAAGGGCUGAGUUCUGGAAGAACUCAGGUUCGGCCGCCGAAGGUGGUUUCGGCCGCCGAACCUGCCUAUAGAUGCAUGGAUUGGCCGCCAAACCUUGCCCCCAAAAGUUGUGUUUCGGAGCUGGAGCAGACUUUCGGCCGCCGAAGGUGAUGUUCGGCCACCGAAAGUGCCUGACUUUCGUCUCUGGAGAGAAGGUUCGGCCGCCGAAGGUGCCUCCUAACCUGC